UAGUGUUGUUAUUGGUAGUUCUCUAGCUCCCAGAUAUGGUCGAAACCGUUUGUCUAAGGCGUCGACCUCUUUCAUGCGAUAUUCGAAUUUUUGAGCUGUGUAUGCCUUUGCUGCACAAGAAAAGGAAUUUUCAAAGAACGUUGCCUUUUUUUUAUGUUGUUUUCAGGUUGUUAAGUAGGUGAAACACACAAUAUCCAUGUUCUACUUCAGGGAAGAUUUGUUGAGUUGCUUUGAUUUACUUUUAUAUCUAUCAGAUAUAACAUACUAUUUUUGUCUAACACCAAAUGUUGCUCUUAAUUUUUCAAAGAACCAUUCUCAUGAGAUGUUAUUUUCUUAAUAAGUCACACAAAAAGCUAGUGGGAAUAUUUUACUUGCAGCAUCUUGUGCACUAGCUGUUAGUAUGUUCUCCCAUAUGUAGCUUAUAGAAAAGUUCCAUCCACUAUAAUUAUAGGUCUGCAUUUAUUCCAUGCUUUCAAUGAAGCGUUUAGUGCCAUGAAACACAAUAAGAAGUUGGUAUUCUCUUCGGUUUCAAUGUGCACUACAGAUCUUGAGUUUAUUUUUUUGGAGCACAUGGAAUUAACUAUGCAGCAACUAAUAAGACUCCUUUACUUUUCCUCUAACAAUGUUUAGAGCGCGCUCCCUACUCCUUCAUGCCAUCAUAUGGUUGGCUUUGAUUCCAAAAUUUGAUGCUUAGUGGGCAAGUUUGUCUGUCAUUGUAUUUUCUUACAAUGAAAUUCUUUGUUGUACCAUUCCUUGACGCUCAUAGUAACCGCUUACAAUCUUUAUCCAAACACUCAAUUUAAAAUUCCUUUGUGCAAGAUUUUUUUUGACCUUGUAUUGAAAUUGUUGUUUUAUUGCAAAAUAGUUGAGGACACUCUUCAAUAUUUCUUUAUCUUUGUAAAUCUACCUUUUUUUAAUUUAUGGAUGUUGUUUAUCUGUGA